AGCGAACGCUGGCGGCAGGCCUAAUACAUGCAAGUCGAACGCACCUUCGGGUGAGUGGCGGACGGGUGAGUAACGCGUGGGAACGUGCCCUUUGGUACGGAACAACUGAGGGAAACUUCAGCUAAUACCGUAUGUGCCCUUCGGGGGAAAGAUUUAUCGCCAUUGGAGCGGCCCGCGUUGGAUUAGCUAGUUGGUGGGGU
rnacentral:rRNA from 1 species